GCGGCCGGAGCGCCUCCUCCGAGUGGUCCCCCCACCCGGCGGGGACGGCGCGCCGCCCCUCCCGGGCACCCGAACAGCCGCGCAGAGUUGAGCAGAGCCCAGUGCCCCGGGCACCGCGGGCCCAGGCGGCCACCCCCCCUCCCUCAUCCGGCCGCGCCGCCGCCCUGCCCCGGGCGGAGUAAACAAGAGACGCGCAAGAUUUGACCUGGCGCGACCCGGAUUUCUGGCCGGGGUUCCCCCUGAGCAGGUGACUCCGUGGGAGGGGUGGAAAUUAGUCUCUGGAAUUCCCGACCAAAGACAUUCACCGUGGUUCUGCUUUUAAAGCCGGUAUUUCACCGACAACUGCGGAAUGUUUUGCGUCUCAAGUUUCAGAUUUCGCGGAAAGGGACCAAAUGUCAGCGCGUAUCAAAUAUUCCCUUCCCUUUUCAUUAAAAAUGAAUACAUUAAAUGGGAGGACAGCCCCCUUAAUGACUUCGACAAUUGCACUGCUGGUUUCGGUUUUGGUUUGUUUUGUUUGUCAUUUCGACCUAUAAUCAGUGUAUUUCUGAGGUCCCCGUGCAAUGGCGACAUUGCCCUGAAGGACGACUCCGCAAAAUAAAGGGGCGAUACGUUUUUCAUCGAUAUUUUUUUCAAAGGAGAAAAAUCUGAAUGAUUUGGAAUAAAUUUCACUGUGUCCUUCCAGGUUGAUCCCAUUUAAAUUCAAGGCCUACUUCCACUAAAGCGGCUUCUCCUUUCAUUAUAAAACCUCCAGAGACAAAACCAGCAAUGGUAAACUGUGCCCUCAGCCCUAAGGGGCUCUAAGGAAAGUGAGGAUCCCUCCAGCAUAGGUGACCCAGCUUGAACCCCCAUACUUAGCAUCAGCAGUGAGGUAAGAACUUUCUUUCCAUUACUUUUCCUACUGCUUUUCCAAUUGAAAGGUAAAGAAAAUCUGGGGAUCUGGAUUGAGAGGUCUUAAUAAAAUAAUUAAUGUCCA